UACGUAGGUGGCAAGCGUUGUCCGGAAUCACUGGGCGUAAAGGGCUCGUAGGCGGCCAACUAAGUCAGACGUGAAAUCCCCAGGCUCAACCUGGGAACUGCGUCUGAUACUGGAUGGCUUGAAUCCGGGAGAGGGAUGCAGAAUUCCAGGUGUAGCGGUGAAAUGCGUAGAUAUCUGGAGGAAUACCGGUGGCGAAGGCGGCAUCCUGGACCGGCAUUGACGCUGAGGAGCGAAAGCCAGGGGAGCAAACGGG
rnacentral:rRNA from 1 species